UGCUCGCAUACGGCUUUUCCAAAAUCAAAGCCGAUGCUCCCAUACCUGCUUGUCAUAUUUCAACCGAGGUUUUCCAAAAUCGAAGACCUAACAGUGCAAUAAUUUCAUGCCUUCACUCACUGGUUUCCCACGAAGUGAGCAACCGUUGUAAAUCUCCAAGAAAUUUGAUCGUCUUCCUUCCCAAAACUGAAACCCAAAGUCAGUGAGAGCAACCGUUGUAAAUCUCCAAGAAACUCGAUCAUCUUCCUUUCCAAAAGCUGAAACCCGAACUCAGUGAGAGCAACCGUUGUCAAGAACAGAAGAAACUCGAUCAUCUUUCUUCCCAAAAGCUGAAACCCUAAGUCAGCGUGGUUUAUGAGAGGAAUCCACAGAAGUGGCCGUUUAAUGCUUUCCCAAAUUUCAGAAUGAAUUCAAUACCCAUAUCCAGAACUAAUUCAUAUAAUACAACGGUGAGUAACAUAUUAGAGCUUGAAUUAGAAAUUAAAUUGAUCCAUUAUUUGUGCUGCAGUUC